GACGAACGCUGGCGGCGUGCUUAACACAUGCAAGUCGAACGGAAAGGCCCUGCUUUUGUGGGGUGCUCGAGUGGCGAACGGGUGAGUAACACGUGAGUAACCUGCCCUUGACUUUGGGAUAACUUCAGGAAACUGGGGCUAAUACCGGAUAGGAGCUCCUGCUGCAUGGUGGGGGUUGGAAAGUUUCGGCGGUUGGUGAUGGACUCGCGGCUUAUCAGCUUGUUGGUGGGGUAGUGGCUUACCAAGGCUUUGACGGGUAGCCGGCCUGAGAGGGUGACCGGCCACAUUGGGACUGAGAUACGGCCCAGACUCCUACGGGAGGCAGCAGUGGGGAAUAUUGCACAAUGGGCGGAAGCCUGAUGCAGCAACGCCGCGUGCGGGAUGACGGCCUUCGGGUUGUAAACCGCUUUCGCCUGUGACGAAGCGUGGGUGACGGUAAUGGGUAAAGAAGCACCGGCUAACUACGUG
rnacentral:rRNA from 1 species